UACGGAGGGUCCAAGCGUUAUCCGGAUUCAUUGGGUUUAAAGGGUGCGUAGGUGGAAUUAUAAGUCAGUGGUGAAAUUUUGCGGCUCAACCGUAAAACUGCCAUUGAAACUGUAGUUCUUGAGAUAGUUCGAGGUAGGCGGAAUGAGUAAUGUAGCGGUGAAAUGCAUAGAUAUUACUCAGAACACCGAUUGCGUAGGCAGCUUACCAGAACUCAUCUGACACUGAGGCACGAAAGCGUGGGGAGCGAACAGG
rnacentral:rRNA from 1 species